GCUGGCGGCGUGCCUAAUACAUGCAAGUCGAGCGAACAGAUAAGGAGCUUGCUCCUUUGACGUUAGCGGCGGACGGGUGAGUAACACGUGGGUAACCUACCUAUAAGACUGGGAUAACUUCGGGAAACCGGAGCUAAUACCGGAUAACAUUUGGAACCGCAUGGUUCUAAAGUGAAAGAUGGUUUUGCUAUCACUUAUAGAUGGACCCGCGCCGUAUUAGCUAGUUGGUAAGGUAACGGCUUACCAAGGCGACGAUACGUAGCCGACCUGAGAGGGUGAUCGGCCACACUGGAACUGAGACACGGUCCAGACUCCUACGGGAGGCAGCAGUAGGGAAUCUUCCGCAAUGGGCGAAAGCCUGACGGAGCAACGCAGCGUGAGUGAUGAAGGGUUUCGGCUCGUAAAACUCUGUUAUUAGGGAAGAACAAACGUGUAAGUAAC
rnacentral:rRNA from 1 species